CUGACAGUCAACAUAAUGAUGAGAGCUGUGUUAUACAAUGUUAAGGAUACUUGUUCAUCUUCUGCUGUGUGAAUUCUGCUGUGUCAGUCCUGUGGGACUUGAUGCCGGCUGGUAGCAGUGUGACGUCUUUGCUUACUAAAUGAUCAAAGGGUGUCUGAAAUCAGCUCAGCCACAGUUGGUUUCCAACGGUUCUUCAGGACAUGGAGGCCACUACGUAACUGUUGCAAUGAACGAUUCUUUUGCCUUUCCACCUGAUGUUGACAAUCUGACCUGUGCGGUACUGAAAGCAACUUAUAUCUUAAAAUAUAUCAGUGCCCUUUGUUUUGCCUCAAAAUGCACACCAGUAAUGUUUUUUGUUGAAACCAGUUAUAUUUCCUAAUUAAACUAAGGCC